rnacentral:lncRNA from 1 species
CAAAAUCAUACAAAUUCUUCAUCCAAAAUAUACCUAAAAUCUUGAACUUACUGAUCCUAGCCUCCAAAGCUCAAAAUACUUCCAAAGAAAAAUCCUAAUCCCUAAUAAGGCCUCGAAAAGCCUCCUUGAAGUCCAUUGGGCAUGGCCUUCGACCAAUAGGAAUGAAGACCUCCAUUCCUUGCCUUCAUCCAACCAUGCUUUGC